rnacentral:rRNA from 1 species
GACGAACGCUGGCGGCGUGCCUAAUACAUGCAAGUAGAACGCUGAAGCGCGGAGCUUGCCCUUCUCGGGUGUGUUGCGAACGGGUGAGUAACGCGUAUGUACCCUGCUUUGUAGCGGGGGAUAACUAUUGAACACGAUAGCUAAUACCGCAUAACAUUGGACUGCACAUGUCAUUUAUUUGAGAUGGGCAAUUGCUCCACUACCAGAUGGAUCUGCGUUGUAUUAGUGAGUAGGUGCGGUAACGACUCACCUAGGCGGCGUUACAUAGCGGACCUGAGAGGGUGGUCGGCCACACUGGGACUGAGACACGGCCCAGACUCCUACGGGAGGCAGCAGUAGGGAAUCUUCGGCAAUGAGGGCAAACCUGACCGCGCAACGCCGCAUGAGUGAAGAAGGUCUUCGGGUCGUAGAGCUCGGUUGUAAGUCAAGAACGAGUGUGAGCGUGGAAAGUUCACACUGUGACGGUAGCUUACCAGAAAGGGACGGCUAACUACGUG